GAUGAACGCCGGCGGCGUGCCUAAUACAUGCAAGUCGAGCGAACGGACGAGAAGCUUGCUUCUCUGAUGUUAGCGGCGGACGGGUGAGUAACACGUGGAUAACCUACCUAUAAGACUGGGAUAACUUCGGGAAACCGGAGCUAAUACCGGAUAAUAUUUUGAACCGCAUGGUUCAAAAGUGAAAGACGGUCUUGCUGUCACUUAUAGAUGGAUCCGCGCUGCAUUAGCUAGUUGGUAAGGUAACGGCUUACCAAGGCAACGAUGCAUAGCCGACCUGAGAGGGUGAUCGGCCACACUGGAACUGAGACACGGUCCAGACUCCUACGGGAGGCAGCAGUAGGGAAUCUUCCGCAGUGGGCGAAAGCCUGACGGAGCAACGCCGCGUGAGUGAUGAAGGUCUUCGGAUCGUAAAACUCUGUUAUUAGGGAAGAACAUAUGUGUAAGUAACUGUGCACAUCUUGACGGUACCUAAUCAGAAAGCCACGGCUAACUACGUG
rnacentral:rRNA from 1 species